CAAUAGCGUAUAUUUAAGUUGUUGCAGUUAAAAAGCUCGUAGUUGGAUUUCGGGUAGGAUUUGCCGGUCCGUCUUUGAGAUGUGUGCUGGUAAGUCCUAUCUUCUUGUCGGGGACCAGCUCCUGGGCUUCACUGUCCGGGACUGGGAGCCGACGAGGUUACUUUGAGUAAAUUAGAGUGUUCAAAGCAAGCCUACGCUCUGAAUACAUUAGCAUGGAAUAACACGAUAGGACUCUGGCUUAUCUUGUUGGUCUGUGAGACCAGAGUAAUGAUUAAGAGGGACAGUCGGGGGCAUUCGUAUUUCAUUGUCAGAGGUGAAAUUCUUGGAUCUAUGAAAGACGAACUUCUGCGAAAGCAUUUGUCAAGGAUGUUUUCAUUA
rnacentral:rRNA from 1 species